rnacentral:rRNA from 1 species
GACGAACGCUGGCGGCGUGCUUAACACAUGCAAGUCGAACGGAAAGGCCCUGCUUUUGUGGGGUGCUCGAGUGGCGAACGGGUGAGUAAAACGUGAGUAACCUGCCCUUGACUUUGGGAUAACUUCAGGAAACUGGGGCUAAUACCGGAUAGGAGCUACUGCUGCAUGGUGGGGGUUGGAAAGAUUCGGCGGUUGGGGAUGGACUAGCGGGUUAUCAGCUUGUUGGUGGGGUAGUGGCUUACCAAGGUUUUGACGGGUAGCCGGCCUGAGAGGGUGACCAGCCACAUGGGGACUGAGAUACGCACCAGACUCCUACGGGAGGCAGCAGUGGGGAAUAUUGCACAAUGGGCGGAAGCCUGAUGCAGCAACGCCGCGUGCGGGAUGACGGCCUUCGGGUUGUAAACCGCUUUCGCCUGUGACGAAGCGUGAGUGACGGUAAUGGGUAAAGAAGCACCGGCUAACUACGUG